rnacentral:lncRNA from 1 species
AUGUCGAUGCGUUCCGGCGGGGACGAGGCGCGCUCCCGGUCCCGCUCGCGCCGGGACAACGCCGCGUUGGUGGAGCGCGAGCGCGAGCGCGACUUACAGCCGCCGGUUACGUUUAAUCUCACGGAGACUUGGAGCGCUUCCGCACGCGCUCCUUGUCCCGGGACCGCGACCGGGAGCGGCUGCGCUUCUUGUUGUGCUUGCUGCUCUUGGUGUGCUUGGAGCGCGACGAGCUCCGGCUGCGGGACCGGCCCAUCUUCCCGGGCUAACCGCCGGCCUCGGGCCCCCUCACGCGCCCGCGAGGUCCUCAGCCGCCGCGAAGGCCGCCUCAACGUGAAGGCCGCAACGCAAGGCGUCCCUAAGAUGGCAGCUGGGGCUGCACCGGCCGCCCUUCCCACAAUGCCCCGCGCGGAACGUGCCGAAGCGGGGCCCCGCCCCUUGACGAUUGCGGCCGAAGGUGGGCGAGCGGUGUCCGAGCGCCCUCGGCUCUUUCCGCCCGUCCUGGUGGAAGCCUUAGGCGCAGACGCCGGAGACUUCGGCUUUGCCUUACAGCACGUUUGGUUUCUGGUGAAGUGCCUACGUGUCUGCAAGGACUGAGACCCGUUUUAGUGCGGGCCAAAGCGCUCCUCCACAGGAGUUGAUUGCAUUAUUUCUAGGCGCUGGUUCUGUCAGGCCCCCAGAAAUUGCAUCCGGGUGACCCUGGGCAGAUCACUCGAUUUGUUUUGGAGCUGUUUAUUCAUUUGCAGUAUGGAGAGUGCCACGCGAGGCGGUUGCGGGACUUACAGGAAAUGAAGUGUGCAGCAGGUUCUGCCUAAUGUAAGCUAAUGCUUAGUAUAGAGUUUUAUUGCUUCCUAAAUGCUUUCAUUUAUUACCUAGUGCUCAAUUUUUAGAGUAAUCCUGGAUUAAGUACUACAGUUACCCCCAAUUUAGAGAUGGGGACCCCGCAGGCCCAGGAGAAGUUGCCCAGGAUGACACACCUAGAAGAUGGCAGAGCGGGGACAUCUACGUUGGUUACUCUGUUGACAUGGUUUAAGCCGCAAGAAGCCCUGGCCAGGAAAAGCUAUGUUCUUAUGUGUCACGGUUAUGCCCCCCAACAUGCCGGGAGUGGGUCCCCAACAUGCCGGGAGUGGGUCCCCAGCUGUAUUUAUACCGAGUUCCUGGCUCCGGGUCAGAGAGCAGUGCAAAGUAGAGGCAUAAAAGAAUGGGAGCAGGCUUCAUUAGAGGAGAUGAAAGAGAGAGUACACACUGGGAGGUCGAUGGAGGAAAAUCACUCCCACCCCAGUUCAGUAGCCCCCAAUGCUGGGAAAGGAAGUGGGUGCUCUCAUUGAAGGUAUAAGCAGGGUGGGGUUCGGGUAAGCAUGCCUGUGAGGAGCGCUGAGAAAGUUGUGUGGCCCCUCAGGGAGCUCUUUGUGUGUGUGUGUGUGUGUGUGUGUGUAUGUGUGUGUGUAUGUUAUUUUAUUUUUUUUUAAUUUUUUUUUAUCUUUUAUUUAAUGAAUAUAAAUUUCCAAAGUACGACUCAUGUGUUACAAUGGCUUCCCCCCCCAUACCGUCCCUCCCACCCACAACCCUCCCCUUUCCCACUCCCUCUCCCCUUCCA